GCUCUGCUUCAGCUGUGGGCACAGGAGGCAGCACUCAGGACAGUCUCCAGCAUGGCCUGGUCUCCUCUCCUCCUCACCCUUCUCAUUCACUGCACAGGGUCCUGGGCCCAGUCUGUGCUGACGCAGCCGCCCUCAGUGUCUGGGGCACCCGGGCAGAGGGUCACCAUCUCCUGCACUGGGAGCAGCUCCAACAUCGGGGCGGGUUAUUAUGUGCAGUGGUACCAGCAGCUCCCAGGAACGGCCCCCAAACUCCUCAUCUAUGAAAAUAAUAAGCGACCCUCAGGGGUUACUGACCGAUUCUCUGGCUCCAAGUCUGGUACCUCAGCCUCCCUGACCAUCACUGGACUCCAGUCUGAGGAUGAGGCUGAUUAUUACUGCCAGUCCUAUGACAGCAGCCUGAGUGCUCACACGGUGCUCCAGGCCCGGGGGAAUCUGAGACAAGAACCCCCUUCCUCCUCUACCAGGAGGGGUGGCAGGGGUAGCCCCAUCUCAGUCAACAUCUGUGACUACUGCUGUGGGUCUGGUGGAGUGGCCCCUGGCCUCUGA